AGAAGCUACGGCUCUCUCCUAACUGGUAAGUUCCCUCUUCUGUAGGCUCGUGUUAGAGAGAAGCAAUGAGGACAGUACUUCCUGGAGGUUCUGUGCCAUGUGGCUUUGCAUUUGAGACAAUGUGGGAUUCUAUGGCGGCAUUGGAACAACGAUGAGUCUCUAGACAUUAGGACAACUUAAUAUCCAAUAGAGUUCUUCGGAUUCUUGGAAGGUUGAUCCUCGUUUAAAUGGAAUAAUGGACUUUUUAAUAUAUGAGCUAUUAAAGCCUUCUUAAAUGGAGUUAACAUGAGAUAUAAGAAGGAAACUGUAGAAGAGAAUAGUCUGGUAAUUUUAGACUAAGCCCUAGAUAAUUAGGCAUGGACCUAUAGACCCAGAUCUAUAGCAUCAAAUUGGCUGCUGGAAUUUGAGAUAUCGUGUUUGUGAACUUGGCAAGGCCAGAAAGAGAAGAAGAUUUGCUUUAGUUGGAGUGUUGAGAAGGGGAGCACAUGGCCAGGCUAGGCAAGUGGGCACCGUUUAGAGCUUGGUGUUCAUGUGGAUUU
rnacentral:lncRNA from 1 species